GCCCGGCUGGCUCAGUUGGUAGAGCAUGUGACUCUUGAUCUCAGGGCCGUGAGUUUACGUUCCAUGUUGGGUG
rnacentral:tRNA from 1 species